rnacentral:tRNA from 1 species
ACCUGGGUAGCUAAGCCGGUUAAGCAUCUGACUUCGGCUCAGGUCCUGAUCUCAUGGUUUGUGGGUUUGAGCCCCGUGUCAGGCU